GCGUGCCUGGAAGCUCCUAGCUGAUACCCUGAGAUCCUGCAGGCAAUGAUUACUUCAUAGAGGUAUCAGCACAAAAAUAACGUCUGACAUCAGCACAGUGCUGUAGGCUUCACAAAGUGCUUUCAUGUGCAUGAUCUCAUUUCACCAUCCUAACAAAACAGUGAUGGAGGCAGUGUCUGCAUGCAUCUCCCUGUCUAUUUUCAAGUCGUACAAGGUUACUACAAGAUACCGAAUAUCACUCCCUGUGCUAUACAAUAACCUAAAGGAAUCUUGAAAGUAAAACUUGAAUUGGUCAAAUUGCUUGCAAGUAACUUUACUGCAUCCUGGAACAAAAGCCAAGAAUAUCUGUAGUAAUACAAAACUAUUCACUACUCAAAAAGGUAAAACCCACAAUGUUGUGCAUCCAAUAAAAAAAUUUACAAUGUGUGCAAA